ACACAUGCAGUCGAGCGGCAGCACGGGUACUUGUACCUGGUGGCGAGCGGCGGACGGGUGAGUAAUGCCUAGGAAUCUGCCUAGUAGUGGGGGAUAACGUCCGGAAACGGGCGCUAAUACCGCAUACGUCCUACGGGAGAAAGUGGGGGAUCUUCGGACCUCACGCUAUUAGAUGAGCCUAGGUCGGAUUAGCUAGUUGGUGGGGUAAUGGCUCACCAAGGCGACGAUCCGUAACUGGUCUGAGAGGAUGAUCAGUCACACUGGAACUGAGACACGGUCCAGACUCCUACGGGAGGCAGCAGUGGGGAAUAUUGGACAAUGGGCGAAAGCCUGAUCCAGCCAUGCCGCGUGUGUGAAGAAGGUCUUCGGAUUGUAAAGCACUUUAAGUUGGGAGGAAGGGCAGUUACCUAAUACGUGAUUGUUUUGACGUUACCGACAGAAUAAGCACUGGCUAACUCUGUGCCAGCAGCCGCGGUAAUACAGAGGGUGCAAGCGUUAAUCGGAAUUACUGGGCGUAAAGCGCGCGUAGGUGGUUUGUUAAGUUGGAUGUGAAAGCCCCGGGCUCAACCCGGGAACUGCAUCCAAAACUGGCAAGCUAGAGUAUGGUAGAGGGUGGUGGAAUUUCCUGUGUAGCGGUGAAAUGCGUAGAUAUAGGAAGGAACACCAGUGGCGAACGCGACCACCUGGACUGAUACUGACACUGAGGUGCGAAAGCGUGGGGAGCAAACAGGACUAGAUACCCUGG
rnacentral:rRNA from 1 species